rnacentral:lncRNA from 1 species
AGGGAGGGAGGAAAGAGAUGGCUGGAAGUCAAGAGGGAGAGGAUCUCCUUGUAAGGAUGCCAGGCAAGAGCCUUGUUGACUUAGCAGGUGACACUCUGGGGAAGUGGGGGAGGAGGGUGCGGGUGUCACACCCCUCUGAGCUUGAUUCCCAUUGGCUCUCGAGAUCCUUAAAAGGGUCCUGCAGUCUCAGCAGCGGCAUUCUCGGACCCUCAGAGGAUUCUGUGGUUACAGUCUCUCCUCAACCCAAGGCAUGAGACGCAUGACUCUCCUCCUCUUGGCAGCUCUGGUCGGGACCCUGGUCUCUGCCCAAAAUGCUUCCUCUGCUCUUCCCGAGGAACCCUUCAUCACCCCAGCAACCCAGAAGAUUUCGACAGCACCUCCCAGCUCAGGAUUCAACCCACUGCAACUCGGGUUAGAUAAAGGUCUCUCGGUAGCCCAAGGAGUAAGAAGAAAAAUACAAGAAAAACUUGAAGAAGGAAAGAAAUUCUUCGAAGAGGGGACUGAACUGGCACAAAGCCUAAGGAAAAAAUUCAUUCCAGUAACAUUGUUUCCUCGUUUUUUGAGAAGCUGAAGAAAUUGAGUCUCUGGACUUAACACCUUAAACAUACUUGUAGCCCAUAGCAAUUAAAGUGAAAGCAUCCAACUUGCCCUUGCCAGUGCUCUGUGGGGUGGGCCCUAGGGCAGAGGGGGAGCAAAGCCCGACGUGACCCAAGCUCCCAGUCCGUCUCCGCCUGCCUUGGGGACACAGCCUGUGAUGAGCCCCUUCAUCCCCCCUGAGCCAGAGUUACAC